CUAAUAAGAACCUGCUGUGUAAAAAAAUAAAAUAAAGUUCAAAAAAAAAAAAAGACAACAAUCCUACAAGACCAAAUAAAUGAAAAGGAAAUAAGCAACCUACCUGAAAAAGAAUUCAGAGUAAUGAUAGUAAAGAUUAUCCAAAAUCUCGGAAACAGAAUGGAGGCAUGGACUGAGAAAACAGAAGAAAUGUUUAACGAAGACUUAGAAGAACUACAGAACAAAGAAACAGUGGUGAACAACACAAUAACCGAAAUAAAAAAUACACGGAAAGGAAUCAAUAGAAUAACUGAGGCAGAAAAGCGAGUAAGUGAGCUGGAACAUAGAAUGGUAGAAGUAACUGCUGAGGAGCAGAAUAAAGAAAAAAGAAUGAAAGAAUUGAUGACAGUCUCAGAGACCUCCAGGACAACAGUAAUGCACCAACAUUUGGAUUAUAGGUGUCCAAGAAAAAGAAGAGAAAAAGAAAGGGUCUGAGAAAACAUUUGAAGAGAUUAUAGUCAAAGACUUCCCUCACAUGGAAAAGGAAACAGCCACCCAAUUCCAGGAAGCGCAGAGUCCCAUACAGGAUAAACCCUAGGAAAAACACACCAAGACACAUAUUAAUUAAACUAACAAAAAUUAAAUUCAAAGAAAAAAUAUUAAAAGGAGCAAGGGAAAAGCAAGAAAUAACAUACAAGGGAGCCCCAUAAAGUUAUCAGCUGAUUUCUCAGCAGAAACUGUGCAGGUGAUAAGGAAGUGGCAUGAUAUAUUUAAAGUGAAAAAAGGGAAGACCCUACAACCAAGAAUACUCUACCCAGCAAGGCUCUCAUUCAGAUUCCACAGAGAAAUCAAAAGCUUUACAGAUGGGAUUUCCCUGGUGGUGCAGUGAUUAAGAAUCUGCCUGCCAAUGCAGGGACACUGGUUCGAUAACUGGUCUAAGAAGAUCCCACAUGCCGUGGAGCAAUUAUGCCCACGCGCCACAACUACUGAAGCCCGUGUGCCCUAGAGCCCAUGUGCUGCAACUGCUGAGCUCACAUGCCUCAACUACUGAAGCCCGGGCACCUAGAGCCCAUGCUCCACAACAAGAGAAGGCACUGCAACGAGAAGCCCACACACCGCAACGAAGAGUAGCCCCCGCUGGCCCCAACUAGAGAAAGCCCGCGUGCAGCAAUGAAGACCCAAUGUAACCAAAAAAAAAAAAAAAAAAGCUUUACAAACAAGCAAAAGCUAAGAGAAUUCAGCACCACCAGACCAGCUUUGCAACAAAUGCUAAAGGAACUUAUUUAGGCAGAAAAGAUAAGAGCAAAACUAGAAACAAACAAAAAAAAAACCCUAAAAGCUCAGCAGGAAAGGAAAGCAUAGCGUAAAGGUAUUAAAUCAUCCACACACAAACAUGAUAUCAAAACAAGCAAUUGUGAGAAGAGGAGAGUACAAAUGCAAGAUACUGGAAAUGCAUUUGAAAUUAAAACACCAGCAACUUAAAACAAUAUUUUUAUACAGAGACUGCUACAUCAACAACACUUGGUAACUGCAAACUAAAAAUCGACAAUAGAUACACACACACAAAAGAAAAAGGAAUCCAAAAACACAACACUACGUUAGUCAUCAAAUAACAAAAGAAGAGAACAGAGAGGAAGGGAAGAAAAAAGGCUUACAAAAACAAACCCAAAACAAUUAAGAAAAUGGUAACAUGAACACAUAUAUUGAUAACUACCUUAAACAUAAAUGGAUUAAAUGCUCCAACCAAAACACACAGACUGGCUGAAUAGAUAGAAAAACAAGACCCAUAUAUAUGCUGUCUACAAGAGACCCACUUCAGACCUAUGGAAACAUACAGACUGAAAGUGAGGGAGCAGAAAAAGAUACUCCAUGCAAAUGGAAAUAAAAAGAAAGCUGGAGUAGCAACACUAAUAUCAGACAAAUAGACUUUAAAAUAAAGACUGUUUCAAGACACAAAGAACAACACUACAUAAUAAUCAAGGAAUCUAUCCAAGAAGAUAAAACAAUUGUAAAUACAUAUGCACCCAACAUAGGAGCACCUCAAUAUAUAAGGCAAAUACUAUCAGCCAUAAAAGGAGAAAUCAACAGUAAAAUAAUACUAGUGGGGGACUUUAACACCCCACUUGCAUCAAUGGACAGAUCAUCUAGACAGAAAAGCCACAAGAAAACAAAGGCCUUAAAUGACAAUUAGACCAGAUGGACGUAAUUUAUAUAUAUAAAGCAUUCCAUUUAAAAGCACCAGGAUACAUGUUCUUCCCAAGUGCACAUGCAACAUUUUCCAGGAUAGAUCACAUGCUGGGUUGCAAAGCAAGCCUCAGUAAACUGAAGAAAACUGAAGUCAUAUCGAGCAUCUUUUCCAACCACAAGACUAUAAGAUUAGAAAUCAACUACAAGAAAAACACUGUAAAAACCACAAACACGUGGUGGCUAAACAGUAUACUAUUGAAUGACCAAUGGAUCACUGAAGAAGUCAAAGAGGAAUCAAAAAAUAUCCUAGAGACAAAAGAAAACAAAACCACAACAAUCUAAAACCUAUGGGAUGCAGCAAAAGCUGUUUUAAGAGGAAAGUUUAUAGCAAUACAGUCCUACCUCAGGAGACAAGGAAAAUCUCAAAGAGCAUACUCUUAACACCUAAACUACUACAGAAAGAAGAACAAACAAAGCCCAAAGUUAGUGGAAGAAAUCAUAAAGAUCAGAGUGGACAUAAAAGAAUUAUAGAUGAAGAAAACAACAGAAAAGAUCAAAGAAACUAAAAGCUAGUUCUUUGAAAAGAUAAAGGAAAUUGAUAAAACUUUAUCCAAACUCAUGAACAAAGAAAGGGAGAGAGCUCAAAUCAAUAAAAUUAGAAAUUAAAAAGAAGUUAAAACAGACACCACAGAAAUACAAAGGAUCACAAGAGACUACUACAAGCAACUACAUGCCAAUAAAAUGGACAACCUGAAAGAAAUGGACAAAUUCUUAGAAAGGUACAAUCUCCCAAGACCGAACCAGGAAGAAAUACAAAAUAUGAACAGACCAAUCACAAGUACUGAAAUUAAAACUGUGAUUAAAAAACUCCCAACACACACAGACACACAACAAAAAUCUUUAAGGGCUUCCCUGGUGGCACAGUGGUUGAGAGUCCGCCUGCCGAUGCAGGGGACACGGGUUCGUGCCUCGGUCCGGGAAGAUCCCACAUGCCACGGAGCGGCUAGGCCCGUGAGCCAUGGCCGCUGGGCCUGCGCGUCCGGAGCCUGUGCCCCGCAACGGGAGAGGCCACAACAGUGUGAGGCCCGCGUACCACAAAAACAAACAAACAAACAAAAAAACUCCCAACAAACAAAAGUCCAGGGCAAGAUGGCUUCACAGGUCAAUUCUAUCAAACAUUUAGAGAAGAGUUAACAGCUAUCCUCAAACUAUUCCAAAAACAAACUGCAGAGGAAAGAACACUCCCAAACUCAUUCUAUGAGUCCACCAUCACCCUGAUACCAAAACCAUACAAAGAUACCACAAAAAAAGAAAA